rnacentral:rRNA from 1 species
CCAAGUUUUUAAGGGCGCACGGUGGAUGCCUUGGCACCAGGAACCGAUGAAGGACGUGAGAGGCCGCGAUAGGCCCCGGGGAGCUGCCAACUGAGCUUUGAUCCGGGGGUGUCCGAAUGGGGAAACCCGGCAGUCGUCAUGGGCUGUCACCCACUGCUGAACACAUAGGCAGUGUGGAGGGAACGAGGGGAAGUGAAACAUCUCAGUACCCUCAGGAAGAGAAAACAACCGUGAUUCCGGGAGUAGUGGCGACCCCCGUAGACGAAACAUCAGCGGCUUGCUUGCUCAUCUCCCAAGUAGCACGGGGCCCGAGAAAUCCCGUGUGAAUCUGGCGGGACCACCCGCUAAGCCUAAAUAUUCCCUGGUGACCGAUAGCGGAUAGUACCGUGAACUGCGUGCCUUUUGAAGAAUGAGCCUGCGAGUUAGCGGUGUGUAGCGAGGUUAACCCGUGUGGGGAAGCCGUAGCGAAAGCGAGUCCGAAUAGGGCGAUUGAGUUGCACGCUCUAGACCCGAAGCGGAGUGAUCUAGCCAUGGGCAGGUUGAAGCGGAGGUAAGACUUCGUGGAGGACCGAACCCACCAGGGUUGAAAACCUGGGGGAUGACCUGUGGUUAGGGGUGAAAGGCCAAUCAAACUCCGUGAUAGCUGGUUCUCCCCGAAAUGCAUUUAGGUGCAGCGUCGUGUGUUUCUUGCCGGAGGUAGAGCACUGGAUAGGCGAUGGGCCCUACCGGGUUACUGACCUUAGCCAAACUCCGAAUGCCGGUAAGUGAGAGCACGGCAGUGAGACUGUGGGGGAUAAGCUCCAUGGUCGAGAGGGAAACAGCCCAGAGCAUCGACUAAGGCCCCUAAGCGUACGCUAAGUGGGAAAGGAUGUGGAGUCGCAGAGACAACCAGGAGGUUGGCUUAGAAGCAGCCACCCUUGAAAGAGUGCGUAAUAGCUCACUGGUCAAGUGAUUCCGCGCCGACAAUGUAGCGGGGCUCAAGCGUACCGCCGAAGUCGUGUCAUUGCAGCAAUAGGGCCAACGCCCGCUGUGAUGGGUAGGGGAGCGUCGUGUGCCGGGUGAAGCAGCAGCGGAAGCUAGUUGUGGACGGUUCACGAGUGAGAAUGCAGGCAUGAGUAGCGAUACACACGUGAGAAACGUGUGCGCCGAUUGACUAAGGGUUCCUGGGUCAAGCUGAUCUGCCCAGGGUAAGUCGGGACCUAAGGCGAGGCCGACAGGCGUAGUCGAUGGACAACCGGUUGAUAUUCCGGUACCCGCUUUGAAACGCCCAAUAUCGAAUCAGGCGAUGCUAAGUCCGUGAAGCCGUUCCGGACCCUUCGGGGAAAGGAAAGUGGUGGAGCCGACGAACCAGACUUGUAGUAGGUAAGCGAUGGGGUGACGCAGGAAGGUAGUCCAGCCCGGGCGGUGGUAGUCCCGGGGUAAGGGUGUAGGCCGAGGGGUAGGCAAAUCCGUCCCUCAUUAAGGCUGAGACCUGAUGCCGAGCCGAUUGUGGUGAAGUGGAUGAUCCUAUGCUGUCGAGAAAAGCCUCUAGCGAGUUUCAUGGCGGCCCGUACCCUAAACCGACUCAGGUGGUCAGGUAGAGAAUACCGAGGCGUUCGGGUGAACUAUGGUUAAGGAACUCGGCAAAAUGCCCCCGUAACUUCGGGAGAAGGGGGGCCAUCACUGGUGAUAGCACUUGCUGCUUGAGCUGGGGGUGGCCGCAGAGACCAGCGAGAAGCGACUGUUUACUAAAAACACAGGUCCGUGCGAAGCCGUAAGGCGAUGUAUACGGACUGACGCCUGCCCGGUGCUGGAACGUUAAGGGGACCGGUUAGUGACCUUUCGGGGUUGCGAAGCUGAGAACUUAAGCGCCAGUAAACGGCGGUGGUAACUAUAACCAUCCUAAGGUAGCGAAAUUCCUUGUCGGGUAAGUUCCGACCUGCACGAAUGGCGUAACGACUUCUCGACUGUCUCAACCAUAGGCCCGGUGAAAUUGCACUACGAGUAAAGAUGCUCGUUUCGCGCAGCAGGACGGAAAGACCCCGGGACCUUUACUACAGUUUGAUAUUGGUGUUCGGUUCGGCUUGUGUAGGAUAGGUGGGAGACUUUGAAGCAGCCACGCCAGUGGUUGUGGAGUCGCCGUUGAAAUACCACUCUGGUCGUGCUGGAUGUCUAACCUCGGUCCGUGAUCCGGAUCAGGGACAGUGUCUGAUGGGUAGUUUAACUGGGGCGGUUGCCUCCCAAAGGGUAACGGAGGCGCCCAAAGGUUCCCUCAGCCUGGUUGGCAAUCAGGUGUUGAGUGUAAGUGCACAAGGGAGCUUGACUGUGAGACCGACGGGUCGAGCAGGGACGAAAGUCGGGACUAGUGAUCCGGCGGUGGCUUGUGGAAGCGCCGUCGCUCAACGGAUAAAAGGUACCCCGGGGAUAACAGGCUGAUCUUCCCCAAGAGUCCAUAUCGACGGGAUGGUUUGGCACCUCGAUGUCGGCUCGUCGCAUCCUGGGGCUGGAGUCGGUCCCAAGGGUUGGGCUGUUCGCCCAUUAAAGCGGUACGCGAGCUGGGUUUAGAACGUCGUGAGACAGUUCGGUCCCUAUCCGCUGUGCGCGUAGGAAUAUUGAGAAGGGCUGUCCCUAGUACGAGAGGACCGGGACGGACGAACCUCUGGUGUGCCAGUUGUCCUGCCAAGGGCACGGCUGGUUGGCUACGUUCGGGAGGGAUAACCGCUGAAAGCAUCUAAGCGGGAAGCCUGCUUCAAGAUGAGUAUUCCCACCUCCUUGAGAGGGUAAGGCUCCCAGUAGACGACUGGGUUGAUAGGCCAGAUGUGGAAGCCCGGUAACGGGUGAAGCUGACUGGUACUAAUAGGCCGAGGGCUUGUCCUC